UUCAUAGCUCGACAAAAUUCUAUGCUUUUUCUCUGGAAGAUACAAACGAAACCAAAUAGAUCAUUGUUGCUAGACAGAUCAAUGACUUACUGUACAAAAUCAACUUUGCGACCACUGUUUGUAAAGAAAUCUCACAGCUGCAAAUACAACAUCGUACAUGAUAAGAAACUAUGACUUCAAAAUCAAAUUAGUGGAGGGAAAUGAAAAAGGAAUGAUGAUGUUACCUUGGAGUGUAGAAGAUCGCCAAGAUUCUUUGAUUUUGAUAAUUUUGGUAAAGAGGAAAAGCUAGAGAACAAAAUGAUAUAUAGAGUUUGAAACUGAGAGAAUCCAAAAGUUGCAGUGAAGAGGAAAUCGUGGGAUUAUUAGGUUUUCUUUAGUGAUUGACUCCGGAACGUUACUUAGCCGAGGAAGCCGAGGGUCUUCAAUCAGCACAAGAAGAAGGGAAUCCCUUGAUGGACCAGAGAAAACAAAGCCCAAUAUAUUAAGGUGUCCAAAG
rnacentral:lncRNA from 1 species